GAGGUGUUAACAGUCUUCAUUUAAUGAAUUUCCAUGAACAUCUUUUUUUUUUUUUUGAUGAUCAUUGUGUGGAGAUAUCAUCUUAAUUGAAACUGUGAGAAGGCUGUACCUGUGACAAAGGACACAAAAGAACCUGCUUAUGUGAACACAAAUGAAGGACACAGUGGGGACUUGCCAUACAGGCCACACGAUGAUCACCCACAGGAACAGGCUGCACGGCAGUCUUCCAGGCACUGGUUUCUGCCUCGGGCAUCCCACAGGCAGCCUCUUUCCUUCCAUCACAUCCAGUCUUGGAUAAAGAAAAAGAAUGGACUUCUAUAAGAGUUGCAACACCACGUACUCUACUAGAUAACAGCACAGGCAUCAUCCCUGGAAACAUCCAUAAAAACACAAGUCAAACUACCAUACCUGUAUUUCAAGUAGGUGACCUCCCUGCUCUGCUCUGUCAUCUCCCUCUCCCAGACUUGAAUCUUGAUAUGGGGGAGAAAAACAUACCCACCUUCAGUUGUGCCAGACUGUGCACCAAAGAGAGGAGGAAAAAAGAAAACACCCAGUUGUCCUGAGCAUUCUUCUCAUACACUGCGAUCUGAAAAAGCCAACAAUGAAAAGCCCAUGUUUAGGGAUUCCAAGGGCCACUACACUCACCCGCAUGAGGUGCUAAGGAUUCAAUACAUCAGGCAGAACUCAGGUUCCCUGAUGUCUGAAGGUGAGCUCUGCCUGUUGCAGCUGUUCUCUUGUUUGUUCAAUUUGUUGCCUGUGAGUUACAAUUGCUUUCAUCAAAUAAGGCCUGAUAUUGGUUAGGAUUAGACAUAAUCUGUCCAUGUUUCCAUCAGCCUCAUAUCUGUCCCCUGAUAUAAUUUAUUCUUACACAUGAAACACUCUUUACAUGGUUAUAAAUGUACAGUAGCAUCAAAGCUAUUGUUCCAUCCUUUCCUUACUCAUUAUUCCAUGCCCAUAGGGUUCAGAGUUCAUAGAAUUCCUUCCCAUUUUCAAUCUCUUCCUAAUUCAUCACAUGACAAGUGUCUUUCAUCAUAAAGCUCUAUUCUUUAACUUAUAUCGUCACCAUGUUUCCUAGGGUUGCAAAGACCAGGGCCAUUAAAUGUCACCACCAUGUUGAUGGGUAUGACACAUCCUACGACACACUGCUUUCCUAUAGAUUAUGACACUUGACACCAACCCCCCAGGAACAUUAGCAUUGAUGUAAUUUCUAUACAGUCUGGCCAUUGCUUGAGAUCCACAAAUGUUUAGAAACGUAAUUGUUUUGUUCUUUCUAAAACUUACCUUUUUUUUAGUCUGCUAAUACUCUAUGCCUAUGUCCUCUGAAUUUGUGUUUAUAUUACUAUGUUGGGUCUAAACAUUGUAAAAAGGUUAAAAACAAAAAAUGAGCAGAGCUUUCAUGAGCUGCUGGUAAUUAGUAGCUGAACUCACUUGUACUUGUUUUCUUCUGUAGUUUUUUUCAAAUUUUCCCUGCAGCUGCCAGCUGAUUCUUCUUUGCCGCCAGUCCACACUGUGUCAUUUUAAGCUUCCUAAGAUAGGAAAAAUAUAUACAUAGUCCAGGAGCCAAGGUCCAGAAAUUCUGCCUUUUUACCCCCCAGCACUCUUGAAGGCAAAUAUCCCUUUCCCCAUCUCUCCCGUAAAUGCACAGACUGACAACACAAUCAGAGAAAUGAAGUGAACACCCCAUUUAAGUUAAAGAAAAUUCAACGUCUGUCUGCUGCCAUGUCUUUGCUAUCAGAACUGUCUUUCUAGUUCUCUGCUUCUACUCCUUCAUCAUAAAGUCAUCAAAUAACGUUGCACUCUGUGCCUUCCAAGAGUUGGUCUUUUGUUUGAGAUGGUGAAGCCUCAUUUCAGCAAUGUCACAAACUAUGACCAACUGUACCCAUUAGGAUGAAGCAAGAGAUCAUCACUAGUCUUAUACCUCCAUGUGGAGCCCUGAUUCUCAGUCCAAAAGUUGUACCCUGACACAAUCACCCUGAAAGAGACCUUCCAGGAUAUGGCUUCACCAGCAUUGCAGCUCACUCCCUGACAUUGCUAGGGGUUAGGAGUACAACCCCUGCCUCCACCUUCAUAUAUCUUGGUGGAGGAAAAGGCCAAUCUUAGAGCAGCAAUGUCUCCUGAAGUAUAACCUGAUAUGAACUGUCAUAUAGUCUGGGUUUAUAUAUAGUCUGUUUCCUGGAGAGGAAACAGAUUUCAGAUGGAAAACUAUCAACUUCAUACAGUCAAUCUACUUUAACAAGACAUUCCAUUGAUAGUGAAGACAGCAAAGGGAAAUGCCUUAAAAGGCUGGUUUGCCAUGUUACCAUCAGACUAUUUUGUUUGUGUAGUUGAUUUAAAGGGUUUCUACUUGGCACUCGAUGUACUCAAGAAUCACAUGCAAAACUGAAAGUCUCUUAGAAACUGACACAAAAGCCCUAGACAGAGAAAGGCACAUGCAUUUCCUUCUGGCCUCUGAGGCAGUCCUUCAGCAAAUGCUUUCUGGAGUGGUUGUAAUAUAGUGGCUCUGUUGUAAGGGAGUGAAGGAAGAAAGGUGGUCAGGGCUCUGUACCCACUCCCAAAAAGAGCUUACAAAUUAAUAAAAACAAGAUGCCAAUGAGACAGAGCAUCCCUCACCUCAGGUGUGGGAAGGAAUAACACACAGCCGAGUCUCCAGGGAAGAGAACGAAGAGCUCAUUUCCCAUUAUGAAUGAGGGACUCUAAAGGCCCCGAUCUCUGCCUGAGAAUGAAUGGAAAUACUGUACAAAGGAGGAAAUAUGUGAAUGAAUGCACCAAAUUUCUAUCAACCUCAUGAAGACACACAAGACCAAGAUAGAGAAGAAGGAAGCCCAUGACAAAGCCAGCCUGGCAGUUGGAGCCAAUCUCCCUAGGUUUCAUCAAUGAUUUGGGAGGCUUACAAAUGAACUGCAUUGAAGCUGAACAACUUUAGGGGCAUAGACUUAGAAUGAAACACGUGUAGUUCAGGGUCGGCCAGCAAAGAUGAGCCCUAGUGAAGCUGCAGGCUUUGGUCAAGACCCAGAAGAGUUACACUUAAAAAUCAGGGGACAGGAAAUAACUAGGCUUUCUUAGGGACUGGGCCUGUAGUGAACAAUCUCACUGGCAGAAUGGAUGCAGGGAUCCAGUACUGCUGGCGCCCCUACCCACUUUCCAGGAAGAAGUUACUGUUGUUUCUGCAGCAAGAUAAUUCCAUUUUUUCCCUCUACACUUUUGACCCAUGUCUGGUCCUGAACAAAAAUGACCUAAUUGAUGACAAAACAACGUGAUGGGAUUGAAACCUAUAGGACAAUGUAGAUGGAUCCAGAGCAGAUCCAGGUAUCAAUGUUAUUAAUGCUGGUACCUUCCCUCUUCUGCCCCAAAUACAUGACACAAUGUGUGACAAGCACUCAGGACAGAAAGGAAAAUGCAGGUUACAGAAAGCAAGGUAGGAAGGGAAGGCACAAUUCUACUGAAUGCAUUUGGCAAAAAGACUCUGGACCCAGUUCCAAAACAAGUAUCUCUACUGGCUGCCACAUUCAUUCAUACAACGGUACUUAUGACAGUUAUCACAUGAUCAUCUUACUCUUCUGUA